CAAAAGCUAACUAAAUUGGGAGUUCUCGUUGAGAGCUAGCUAAUCCCACAUCGUCUAGUUACACGAAGCUAUCUAUGUUUAUAAGCAAGAGCGAGAGUACAAGGCUUGUCCCUUCGGGGACAUCCGAUAAAAUUGGAACGAUACAGAGAAGAUUAGCAUGGCCCCUGCGCAAGGAUGACACGCAUAAAUCGAGAAAUGGUCCAAAUUUUUUUCUUUACCCAAAAUUUCCCAAACCCAUUUGUGAAUUCUUCCAUGGCUUCGUUCUUUUACACUUUCUCUCCAUCUUCACAUACGUUUUGGAGUCUUUCUCAACAGUGCAAUGCCUCCAUGUAGUCAACAACUGUUACAACCCUACAAGCUUACAGCAUACAUCAAGCCCUAACCAUGUGGAGUAAAAAAAAAGGCACCUGUGUAGGCAAUUGGUGGCCCAUUUGGUCUGAUGAGUGUGCACAUUACUGUUCAAUUAGUCGCUCUUGAUAUGCUCCAAACUCCAGGUGGAUGUGCCCCUUCCAUCCCGGCUCCAAACACCUUUUAAGAACAUUACCUGCCUGUGAUGUCCUUAAAAAGGAGAAAUCCUCAGAUACUUUAGAUGUUGAAGCAUUUCCAGCAUUAAGGAGCAAGGUUGAACUUAAUUAUGUAAGGUUAUGGUCCAGGUAAUUUCUGUUGGCUUUGAAAAUCUGGUUGAUUUUGCCACCCUGCCCUACCGGCCAUUUCCUAGCAAUGGGUGACUUUGCUAUGAAAGAGGAUUGACAGGAGAAGCACUGCAAGAGCCAUGGAAAGAGAGAGUGAACUGUUUAGGCUUUUGAUUCCAUUGUUGCUUUGCACACGUAAACAUUGCUUUGAUGUAAAGCAGGGGAAUGAUAUAAUUUCCUAUUACCCAGAUGUCGUUGUUAUUUUAAAACCUAAUGAAAUGUGAUUAGAAUGAUAAACAUUAUUACACAAACGAGAACUGCCUUUGUGUUCUACACAUAUUUUGCCUGGCAAAGUUUAUGAGGAAACUUUUACUCAGAAUCGUCCAUGUGAACCGAACUAGCAUAAGUUGAGAACUUUUACUCAGAAUCGUCCAUGUGAACUGAACUAGCAUAAGUUGAGAACAGUAUUAGAUGGGCUGCUUAACUAGCAAGGGAGGAAUGAUGGCUUGUCGUGGUUUUUGAAGGUGACCCCAAAACCUCCAUGGAUGUUAAUCAACCCAAUUUUACAUGGCAGGUGAUCUAUACAGAUGAGGAGAUUAGGAGGUUGAAAAAAGGAUCAACGAGGUUGGUUUCAACUUCAGUAUCUUGCGAGUUGGGUGCUUUGCCUUUCGUUAUGGUAAAUGCCAAAAGGCUGGAUUGUUGUAUAUAAUGUUUCUUUUGUAUCAUUCUUUUGUAAUUGCCUCCGGAAUAAUUCCUACAAAGGAUACCAUUUUGAGGUUCAACCCAGACAUUGACCCAGCUUGUCCACUAUGUGGUGAAUCUCCUCAAACUUCAGUCCAUAUCUUCAUCCACUGCCAAGCAGCCAGAGCACUAUGGUUUGGUAGUAAUUGGGGAUUCAACCCUCAUGAACUACAUCUCACGUCCACUUGACAACUCAUUGAUCUAUUGUUAUCCCCUAAUUCUACUGUUAUUCCUUCGGACAUUGAAAGGCAAGCUUUCCUAGUAUUCGAAUAACUAACUCUAGAAUGUAUUUUGGAGAUCAAGGAAUUUGGCUCUUUUUGAUAAAGUUGAGAUGAACAUCCAGAAAUCUCUAUGGCAGAUAAGAAGUAGAAUGAAAGAAUACAUGAGGACAGUCCCAGAAUCUUCUUUGUCAAUUCCUAAAUUAAGGGAUGUUAAGUGGUCAAGUCCACCAGAAGGCGCCUUAAAGGUCAACUGCGACACUGCAAUUGGCCAAGACAAAGCUUAUCUUGCUAUUGUUGCCAGAGACUGGAGAGGGACAUUGGUAUUACUAUGUCCAAAAGAGUGGAAAUCAACAUCCCUGUCCAAGCCGAAACUGAAGCUAUCAGCUGGGCUGUACCCCAGCUAGUAAGCCAUAAUAUUCACAAGACCAUUGUAGAAAGUGAUGCCAAGGUAUGCAUUGAAGCCAUGUUAGAAUCAAGCUCUAGGCCUCCAUGGAGAAUUGAGGUGCUGACUGCUGACACUCUUGUCUUUAGCUCAUAGGGUUAAUUCUUUAGAAUUCGAGUGGACCCCAAGAGAAGCUAACAUGGCAGCCCAUGUACUGGCUUCAUGAUCUCUUACUAAUAGAGUAGCUAAUUAUUUUGUAUUGGGAUCAGCCCCUGCUGUUCUUUCUGAUGUAAUUAAUUCUGAGCGAGCAAGCCUUUGUCCUAGGCUCUUUUGUAUA